AAAAGUUUGUUUGGGUUUUUCUGUAAGCUCAUAUGGAAAACCUGAAUGAACUUUUUGA
ensembl:miRNA